rnacentral:rRNA from 1 species
UGCAGUCGAGCGAACAGAUAAGGAGCUUGCUCCUUUGACGUUAGCGGCGGACGGGUGAGUAACACGUGGAUAACCUACCUAUAAGACUGGGAUAACUUCGGGAAACCGGAGCUAAUACCGGAUAACAUAUUGAACCGCAUGGUUCAAUAGUGAAAGGCGGCUUUGCUGUCACUUAUAGAUGGAUCCGCGCCGUAUUAGCUAGUUGGUAAGGUAACGGCUUACCAAGGCAACGAUACGUAGCCGACCUGAGAGGGUGAUCGGCCACACUGGAACUGAGACACGGUCCAGACUCCUACGGGAGGCAGCAGUAGGGAAUCUUCCGCAAUGGGCGAAAGCCUGACGGAGCAACGCCGCGUGAGUGAUGAAGGUCUUCGGAUCGUAAAACUCUGUUAUCAGGGAAGAACAAAUGUGUAAGUAACUGUGCACAUCUUGACGGUACCUGAUCAGAAAGCCACGGCUAACUACGUGCCAGCAGCCGCGGUAAUACGUAGGUGGCAAGCGUUAUCCGGAAUUAUUGGGCGUAAAGCGCGCGUAGGCGGUUUUUUAAGUCUGAUGUGAAAGCCCACGGCUCAACCGUGGAGGGUCAUUGGAAACUGGAAAACUUGAGUGCAGAAGAGGAAAGUGGAAUUCCAUGUGUAGCGGUGAAAUGCGCAGAGAUAUGGAGGAACACCAGUGGCGAAGGCGACUUUCUGGUCUGUAACUGACGCUGAUGUGCGAAAGCGUGGGGAUCAAACAGGAUUAGAUACCCUGGUAGUCCACGCCGUAAACGAUGAGUGCUAAGUGUUAGGGGGUUUCCGCCCCUUAUGCUGCAGCUAACGCAUUAAGCACUCCGCCUGGGGAGUACGACCGCAAGGUUGAAACUCAAAGGAAUUGACGGGG